rnacentral:rRNA from 1 species
UACGUAGGGGGCAAGCGUUGUCCGGAAUUAUUGGGCGUAAAGAGCGUGUAGGCGGUCCGGUAAGUCAGCUGUGAAAGUCAAGGGCUCAACCCUUGAAUGCCGGUUGAUACUGUCGGGCUAGAGUCCGGAAGAGGCGAGUGGAAUUCCUGGUGUAGCGGUGAAAUGCGCAGAUAUCAGGAAGAACACCCGUGGCGAAGGCGGCUCUCUGGGACGGUACUGACGCUGAGACG